GAUGAGGCUGUAGCCUUCGUCUCGUCUCAGGCCGUCUCUCUCGCAAUUUCAAUCCCCGCAAUCGCCGCUUCUUCGUCACAUUGUCACUUCCUCUGUCUCCUGGGACUUGUUGUCACCAGAACAGGAAGCGAAUGUGCUCAGAAAGAUUCACUUGCUGCAGAGGGGGAGGAAUAACAAAGCGUGAGAGAUAGAGAGAGCAUGAGAGAGAGAGCGAGAGAGCGCGAGAGAGUGAGGGAACUCCCGAGCAGUCAUCGGAGGCAGCGAUGCUGUACGUUGAAAAUUGGGACGAGUUUCAGGAAUGCUCUCUCGUGCUUUUCCGCUCCGACCCUGUGGCCAUAUCCAUAUCCUUGUUCUCACCAUCACGCUUUGUAGAAAGAGGAAUUGAUGGGGCGUUGUAGGUUUGAGUCAGUUUGUGGAUGUGCGUGUGCGUGUGUUUGUGUUUCAUAGAAGCUGUGGAGUAGGAAUUUUCGUUUCACAACUCGUGUGGUCUCUGAGUGAUGGGUUUUGAUAGAUAUAGAGCCUUGAGCUUAUUUGCUAUUCAGACUCGCAAUGUGUUGAAAUACAGGCAUUGUGAUGGCAAACUCGUACUCAAAGUCACUGAUUGUAAAGUAGUAGGGUGUACUUUCUAUGUUGAUUUUCCACGACAUCCAUGUUUUGGGCGAAUUGAUUGCGAUAGCUUGUCUUUGUCAGAAGCUGCACUGUGUCGAGCUAAUCUUCAUGUGAUCGGAGGUCCUAUAAUACUCUUAACGUGUGGAGCUUAGGAAUGUUUGGUGAGGGUUGCUAGCUUUGGAAACACUGGCGUUUCUAUUGUAAUGGAUCUUCCCGAGGUGGUCAUUUGAGGAACUGGAGGGGUGAUUUUAAGUAGAAACCUGUCAACAUCAACUCUGUGUAUUUGAAAUGGGAUUAGGUUUUUUUUGUGGGUAGUGUUAGCAGUCUUGAUACAACUGCGUCAUCCUUGAUCAGAGGCUCUGUCAGUUUGUCUGUAUUUUCCUCUCAAGUUUUGCAGCAUAACAAGUAUCAAACCAGUGGUAAUAUAUGAUCGAAAUGUCGUGUAGACUUCAGAGAGAUAUUUGCACCUAACGUUUAGAUUGAGGAGAAUUUUUAGUGUUUUGCGACAUUGUCGUCUCUGCAAUGUACGCUCUAUUGAGGCGUAUACUUAAUGUAUUGCACUUGCUCAGCUGAUUGAAACACUUUGUCAGCAGCGAUGGUAUUAUGUUGGUAUUGUGCCUUGGUUUUGACUUGCUCUGCUAAGUAGUCUUGGAUGAAUGCCGAUUUUUUUUCCCGUUGUUUGUGCUUGUCCGUUGAAAUCAAGUCAUUCUUACUCACUUGUGUAGUAUCGAUACCUCUCUGCAUGGCAAUGACCAUAGUUUAUAUCCCUUCCAUUUUCGGGAGCGUACUCUAAAAAUCUUUUUUCAGUCUUGGUAGGAGUAGCUUUGUAUUCAACGUAGUGAAGUCAUUUAUUGUUGUGUGCAAGUUUUUGUGCACUUUUCUUUUGACUACCUUUCGUAGCCUCCUCAAUACUUCAUAAUAUUGUCCGACACUUAAAGCUUGCUACUGCCACUUCGUCUUGCCUAAUGGACAUGAGAAUGUAAAUGUCGGUUCUAGUUGCAUUGUAAUCAGCUGUUACAUUCCAGCUAGGGCCGCACCAUCCCUCAGCUCUGCUUGCCGCCACUUGUUUAUUUAUUUUGAUUUUUUCAUUCUCUUAAAUCGAUUUUGUUUGUUUGUUUAUUUGUUUAGGCUAAGUUAAUCGCCCUAUAUUACACUACGUUUGCCCAAGUAAUGAUUAAAUGGUCCUGGUAGGGACCGUAGCUGGUGAUAAUUAGUAUUAUGAGCCUCGCUAAUUUACAACAUCCAACUUUCACAAACCUAGUUGAAUGGAAGUGUUAGUGACUUACCGAAGUUUACAAACUUCUGAAUAACUCAAGUUUUGCUUGUCUUGAAAGAGCAACAUAGACCACCACUCCAGUUGUUUAUAGAAAAGGCAUGAUAAAUUGAAUAGAGGAAGAAAGAAUGAAAAAUUAUUUCCUGAGUAUCUAGUUAUCAAGUCAUGUUUCAAGCUGGAGGGGGAUUGUGAAGUGGGUUUGGCAGGGGCAGCGUCUUCUUCAGGGACCUGGUGGAUGGUCUAUACUCUCGUUAUGAACAUGGAAGAACGAGGUCAUGUUUGGUGCAGGGCUUGGAUGGAUGAAUUGUUUUUGUCCUGGUAGGAUGGAUGGAUGGAGUCCACUAGAUUGCUGCUUACAUUACAAUGUGGUUGUUGGUGCACGAAUCUGAAGUGUCUCGUCCAUCUAUCCAUCUAUCUUCGGGAUGGAUGACCCAUUCCUUCCAACCACACACAGCCUCCUCCUCGUCCUCGAAGUGUCUGUCUGGCCCGAAGUACCCUAUCCUCGUCUCACUCUCUCAGUUACUUACUUCUCAGCCACUUCUCACUUUCAUUCGCUGAAUGCUCUGUGCCUUCUCGCUUACAUGCUGUGACGACGCUUCUCUAUGGUGAUAGCAUCGUUCGAGCCGAGCGAAUAGCUUCGUGUGUACUCUGGAUUUAUUGGCGUGCUUCACGUUGCGCUUCCGCUCGAAGCCCAUUUGACGCGCUAGAUGGUGGUGGGAAACGUGGGAGCAUCGUCUUGUUUUUUAGGAUUUGUUUGUACAUCCUAACCCACGAAGUUGGUGUUUUGUGAUAUUCACUUGUGAUCGUCUCUGCCUUGUGACUGAAUGGUCCGUCGUGUUGGUCUAGGGUUUCGAGUAUGAAGAGACUAGUUCGCGAGUUCCAUGUUUCAAUCGUAGCUAUUGGUUGUGUUUUGUCGGUUUCAUUUUUUGUCCUUGCGAAAGUACGGAUGAGAUUUCAUGGUGCUUAAACAACCCAGCAAUAAGCUUCCAAUGCAAUUUGGGGGGAGGAUGUUUAGUUUGAUACUGAUAGAAUUAUAGAUGUAAUAUGGGAGGAAGUGCAUUCUAUUUUCAUUGGCUAGCCUCUCUUUUUGUCAAGGAAAAUUUGAAAAGGAAAAUUUGAAAAACACUUCAAUUGUGAAAUUGUAGGGAUGGAGGUUUUUUUUAUAUAUUAGUUUAGACGAAUUCAGUAAAUCAACAAUAAUUUUGUAAUGUGAUUUGAUUUUUGGAUUGGAGUGAA